rnacentral:rRNA from 1 species
CCUACGGGAGGCAGCAGUGAGGAAUAUUGGUCAAUGGCCGGAAGGCUGAACCAGCCAAGUCGCGUGAGGGACGACUGCCCUAUGGGUUGUAAACCUCUUUUAUAAGGGAAGAAUAAAUGCUACGUGUAGCAUGAUGCCUGUACCUUAUGAAUAAGCAUCGGCUAACUCCGUGCCAGCAGCCGCGGUAAUACGGAGGAUGCGAGCGUUAUCCGGAUUUAUUGGGUUUAAAGGGUGCGUAGGCGGUUUUUUAAGUUAGUGGUAAAACGUCGGGGCUUCACCUAGAUUUGCCAUUAAUACUGUAAGACUCGAGUUCAGACGAGGUAGGCGGAAUAAGUUAAGUAGCGGUGAAAUGCUUAGAUAUAACUUAGAACUCCGAUAGCGAAGGCAGCUUACCAGACUGCGACUGACGCUGAAGCACGAGAACGUGGGUAGCGAACAGGAUUAGAUACCCCAGUAGUC